rnacentral:rRNA from 1 species
AUACGGAGGUUGCGAGCGUUAAUCGGAAUUACUGGGCGUAAAGGGUGCGUAGGCGGCUUGAUAAGUCGGAUGUGAAAGCCCCGGGCUUAACCUGGGAAUUGCAUUCGAUACUGUCAGGCUAGAGUAUGUCAGAGGUUGGCGGAAUUCCUGGUGUAGCGGUGAAAUGCGUAGAUAUCAGGAGGAACACCAGUGGCGAAGGCGGCUAACGGGGGCAAUACUGACGCUGAGGCACGAAAGCGUGGGGAGCAAACAGGAUUAGAAACCCUAGUAGUCC